CGCCCAGACCAACCGUAAGGAGGCACGGCCGACCCAAGGUAUGGCCCAUGAUUGGGGUG
rnacentral:rRNA from 1 species